CAUUGUGAUGCUCUGCAGGACGGGGGCGCCUGUUUUCAGCAGCUGGAGCUCCCCAGAACUGAGGUGAGCUGACAGGAGCUUCACAGUGACAGGGUUCAGACCAGGCUGAGGAAUAGAGCUCAGCUCCAACGCCAGGAACCAGCUCCCCAGUGUAGGAUGUCUGAAAAUCAAGGGAUUUGGUACCUUGUCAUUUGAAGACACUUCUGUCAUCAGGGACUCCUCAUCCAUGAAGAGAUCCUAUCAGCCUGAUGCUCCUCCUGUUUCUGCUGCUGCUCCAGCUUUAUUUCAUUGCCCUGGCACAACAAGAUGCUCAGCAUGUCCACACAGAGGUCAACAAGUUGAGGACCCAAAGUUUUAGCAAGCUCUGAAAAUAAAGACACCUUGGAAGUGUAGAAAAGAGGAGGAUGGGAGCAGAAGGGUAAUUAUACAACAGGAAUAAGAGUUUACUAAGAACUACUUAGAUUACAAGCUCUUCUGGGGGAAGGAACCACUUCCCUUCAUAGAAACCUGAUUCUAAGAGAAGUCUCAGGUUGCCAAAUAAAUGGUGAUAGAAUUU